rnacentral:rRNA from 1 species
AUCUGUAGCCAUACCGCCCUGAAUGCGCCUGGUCUUGUCUCAUCUCGGAAGCUAAGCCUGGUUGGUCCUUGAAUGGGACGAGGUAAGGAAUAUGCAUAAC